ACUUCCCAACCCAUAGAAUUUGCUACAGGUAGGGUUAAGGAUUUGACUCGGCCGUUCCACCAAGUCAGAGCUUUAUCGGUGAAUGUGCAGGCGGCGAACUUCACCUUGUCUAAUUCUGAACAGGCACAGAUUUCGAAAAUUGAUUCAAUUUUCUCUAACCAUCGAGUCAGAGUUAUGACACCUCCAGUGCCAUCGAAAGAUGUGGGUUUUACGUUCAUAAAGUCCUUAUAGGAACACUCCUUCCAGUGUCCCUGACUACCUUCCUGGUUUUGGGGCUGGGGACCACCUCCUUGCCCACCUAAACCACUGAGGUUCAUUUGUGAUAUGGUAGCAGCCACAUCAGCAUUGACAGCUGCUUGAAACGUGACACGAUCAAAUUGAGGAGGUGGUGGUGGCGGAGGAGGAUUGUUGUUCUUUNCAGCCACAGCAGCAUUAACAGCUGCUUGAAACAUGACGGGAUCAAAUUGAGGAGGAGGUGGUGGCGGAGGAGGAUUGUUAUUCUUUGAGCUGGGUCUUUUCCUUGGAGGCAUCUUGAUCUAAAAUAGCCAGGAAAGAGAGGAUCAUAAGUCCUCUGAAUUGAAUCAAGAGAUAUGGAACAGGGGGUAUCUCAUUA
rnacentral:lncRNA from 1 species